ensembl:lncRNA
UGUCCCCAGUGCCUCCAAUACCCUCAACGUCCCCAUUGCUCCCAUUGCCCCCAAUGUCCCCACUCCCCCCAGUGUCCCCAUGCCUCCAAUACCCCCAGUGUCCCCACUGCUCCCACUGCCCCCAGUGUCCCCAGUGUCCCCAGUGUCCCCAUUCCCCAUAAUGUCCCUAUUCUCCCCCACUGUCCCCAGUGCCUCCAAAACCCUCAACGUCCCCAUUGCUCCCAUUGCCCCCAGUGUCCCCAUUCCCCCAGUGUCCCCAUGCUUCCAACACCUCCAAUGUCCCCAUUGCUCCCAUUGCUCCCAAUGUCCCCAUCCCCCUCAGUGUCCCCAUUCUCUCCACUGUCCCCAUGCCUCCAAAACCCCCAGUGUCCCCAUUGUCCCCAAUGUCCCCAUUCCCCAUAAUGUCCCUAUUCUCCCCCUGUCCCCAGUGCCUCCAAUACCCCCAACGUCCCCAGUGCUCCCAUUGCCCCCAGUGUCCCCAUGCUUCCAACACCUCCAAUGUCCCCAUUGCUCCCAUUGCCCCCCGUGUCCCCAGUGUCCCCAAUGUCCCCAUUCCCCAUAAUGUCCCUAUUCUCCCCCACUGUCCCCAUGCCUCCAAUACCCCCAACGUCCCAUUGCUCCCAUUGCCCCCAAUGUCUCCAUCCCCCUCAGUGUCCCCAUUCUCUCCACUGUCUCCAUGCCUCCAAUACCCCCAGUGUCCCCAUUGCUCCCACUGCCCCCAGUGUCCCCAUUGUCCCCAAUGUCCCCAUUCCCCAUAAUGUCCCUAUUCUCCCCCUGUCCCCAGUGCCUCCAAUACCCCCAAUGUCCCCAUUGCUCCCAUUGCCCCCCGUGUCCCCAGUGUCCCCAAUGUCCCCAUUCCCCAUAAUGUCCCUAUUCUCCCCCACUGUCCCCAUGCCUCCAAUACCCCCAACAUUCCCAUUGCUCCCAUUGCCCCCAAUGUCCCCAUUCCCCCCAGUGUCCCCAUGCCUCCAACACCUCCAAUGUCCCCAUUGCUCCCACUGUCCCCAGUGUCCCCAAUGUCCCCAUUCCCCAUAAUGUCCCAAUUCCCCCCAGUGUCCCCAUGCCUCCAAAACCUCCAAUGUCCCCAUUGCUCCCACUGCCCCCAAUGUCCCCAUUCCCCAUAAUGUUCCUAUUCUCCCCCACUGUCCCCAGUGCCUCCAAUACCCUCAACGUCCCCAUUGCUCCCAUUGCCCCCAGUGUCCCCACUCCCCCCAGUGCCCCCAUGCCUCCAAUACCCCCAGUGUCCUCACUGCUCCCACUCCCCCCAGUGUCCCCUGGGUCCCCAAUGUCCCCUUUCCCCAUAAUGUCCCUAUUCUCCCCAACUGUCCCCAGUGCCUCCAACGUCCCCAGCAUCCCCACAGAUCCCACUCCCCCCCUUGCCCCCCCCUUGCCUCCCUGUGCCCACCUUGGACUCGACGUGGUAGGCGACGUAGUGCGCGGUGCAGCGCAGCGGGAUCUUGCGGACGGGCCACGGCGCGUCGUAGGAGAGCGCGGCGGGCAGGACGCUGAUGCGCAGCUCCCCCUGACAAGGGGGGACCCCAAUUAACGGGAACCCCAAUUAACGGGAACCCCAAUUAAUGGGAACCCAGUCAACGGGGGCCCAAGUGAACGAGAACCCAAAUUGGAGAGAACCCACGUUCAUGGCAAAGGACAUGAAUGGAAAUGCAAAUGAAUGAGAAUCCACGUCAACGGCGGCUCAAGUGAAGGGGGGACGCCAAUUAAUGGGAUCCCCAAUUAAUGGGAACCCAAUUAAUGGGGACCCCAAUUAAUGGGAACCCAGUCAACGGGGGCCCAAGUGAACGAGAACCCAAAUUGAAGAGAACCCAAGUUAAUGGCAAAUGACACAAAUGGAAACGCAAAGAAACGAGAAUCCAUGUCAAUGCUGACCCAAGUCAAGGGGGACCCCAAUUAACGGGAACCCCAAUUAACGGGAACCCCAAUUAACAGGGGCCCAAAUGAACGAGAACCCAAACUGAAGAGAACCCAAGUUCAUGGCAAAGGACAUGAAUGGAAACGCAAAUGAACGAGAACCCAC